UACGGAGGGGGCUAACGUUGUUCGGAAUUACUGGGCGUAAAGCGUGCGCAGGCGGUUAUGUAAGACAGUUGUGAAAUCCCCGGGCUCAACCUGGGAAUUGCAUCUGUGACUGCAUAGCUAGAGUACGGUAGAGGGGAUGGAAUUCCGCGUGUAGCAGUGAAAUGCGUAGAUAUGCGGAGGAACACCGAUGGCGAAGGCAAUCCCCUGGACCUGUACUGACGCUCAUGCACGAAAGCGUGGGGAGCAAACAGG
rnacentral:rRNA from 1 species